CACGUAGGGCGCAAGCGUUGUCCGGAAUUAUUGGGCGUAAAGAGCUCGUAGGCGGUCUGUUGCGUCUGCUGUGAAAACCCGGGGCGUUAACCCCUGGCUUGCAGUGGAUACGGACAGACUAGAGGUAGGUAGGGGAGAAUGGAAUUCCCGGUGUAGCGGUGAAAAUGCGCAGAUAUCGGGAGGAACACCGGUGGCGAAGGCGGUUCUCUGGGCCUUACCUGACGCUGAGGAGCGAAAGCGUGGGGAGCGAACAGG
rnacentral:rRNA from 1 species